rnacentral:rRNA from 1 species
UACGAAGGGGGGCUAGCGUUGUUCGGAAUCACUGGGCGUAAAGGGCGCGUAGGCGGCCGCUCAAGUCGGGGGUGAAAGCCUGUGGCUUAACCACAGAAUUGCCUUCGAUACUGUUUGGCUUGAGACCGGAAGAGGUGAGUGGAACUGCGAGUGUAGAGGUGAAAUUCGUAGAUAUUCGCAAGAACACCAGUGGCGAAGGCGGCUCACUGGUCCGGUUCUGACGCUGAGGCGCGAAAGCGUGGGGAGCAG